GUGGCAGUAAAGGCUUGAGUACGACCUGUCAGAAUCAUAAGUCUCAAAGCCCCGACGAGUAGGGUGGCGUGCCGGUGAGCGUAGAAGGCCAAGACGUGAGUCGGGCUGGAGCCGCCGGUAGUGCAGAUCUUGGUGGUAGUAGCAAGUACUCUGGUGAACAACCUGGAGCUGUGAGGUAUGGAUCAGGGUUCCAUGUCAACAGUGAUUGAACAUGGGUGAGUCGUUUCUAAGCCAGCUGCUACGGCAGUGACAUCCCGAUGAGGGGUAUCGCAGUGAUUCUGAUUCCAGUUUUGGUUUGGCACCCAGCGAAUUGAUCAGGCACGCUCCUGGCAUUGCUCGGCGAGACGUAAAACUCUACGACCCCGGCAAGAAAGGUUGAGCGGCAGGCAAUAAGCACGGACAGAUGUGCUUCUGUGAAUGGUUACGCUCACGAGCGUAGAGUGGAAGCUGGCCACUCGGGUAUAUAUGGAAAGGACAGGAUCAAACACUGCGUACUCUGAGUCGGUUCCAUGUCCGGCGAAAGAGAAUAAGGAAUUUUUUCCGUGACCGGUCCCGGCAUUCUCGACUGGCUUUGCCAGUCAUUGAUCCAUGUAAAUGGAACCAGGCCACAGACGCCGGCAGUUGCCCGAGGAAGAGUUUUCUUUUCUGCUUGACGCACGAGGUCAUCCCUGGAAACAGUUCGGCUGGCGAAAGGGUGCUCCGUUGCGGCAGAGCGCCACGACUGUCGUGCGCGUCUUGGAGUUCCUGCCGGUCCUUGAAAAUGUGGUCUAGGGAAGGAAUGCUACUUACUUUGUAUCAACGAAACGUCCGACAAGUUCGGGACAGACCGUACCCUAUAUCCGCAUCUGGUCUCCAAGGUUCUAAGCCUCUGCAGAGUCUGACACAUGUAGGUAAGGGAAGUCGGCAAAAUCGAUCCGUAACUUCGGGAGAAGGAUUGGCUCUGAGGGCCGAGCUGGGCCGGGCCUUGCCUGCUAAGCAGUACCUCUCUAGUGUGACCGGAGUUUAAGGAGUGCGUCGGACUUUAGUACAUGUUCACGCGUCUUUGCGCGCGUGGAUACGAAAGAGUUCACGUCUCCGCUCCAACCGCACGAAAGGCUGUGACGACAAGGACUUUGGGCGGGAGCGUUCAAACCCGUCAGCCCCAGCGAGUCUGUGUGGCGCGGGGCUCCGUCUGUCCCAUACGGCUCCAGCAGCCAGCGGCUAACUCAGAACUGUCAUGGACCAAGGGAAUCCGACUGUCUAAUUAAAACAAAGCGUCGUGACGGCCCCUGUUGGGUGUUGACGCGACGUGAUUUCUGCCCAGUGCUC
rnacentral:rRNA from 1 species